GACGAACGCUGGCGGCGUGCUUAACACAUGCAAGUCGAACGGAAAGGCCCUGCUUGCAUGGUACUCGAGUGGCGAACGGGUGAGUAACACGUGGGUGAUCUGCCCUGCACUUCGGGAUAAGCCUGGGAAACUGGGUCUAAUACCGGAUAGGAGCCAUUUUUAGUGUGAUGGUUGGAAAGUUUUUUCGGUGUAGGAUGAGCUCGCGGCCUAUCAGCUUGUUGGUGGGGUAAUGGCCUACCAAGGCGGCGACGGGUAGCCGGCCCGAGAGGGUGGACGGCCACAGUGGGACUGAGAGACGGCCCAGACUCGUACGGGAGGCAGCAGGGGGGAAUAUUGCACAAUGGGCGCAAGCCUGAUGCAGCGAGGCCGCGUGGUGGAGGACGGCCUUCGGGUUGUAAACGCGUUUCGCUAGGGACGAAGCGUUUUGUGACGGUACCUAGAUAAGAAGCACCGGCUAACUACGUG
rnacentral:rRNA from 1 species